AUUUUCUUCUAUUACUGCUAUAAAAUUUACCAAUAUUUACAGCAAUGUAACAUUCAAAGCCCAUUUACCAGAUAAAAUUGAAUGGUAGCCUAACUACUUCAAUUGAACUAUGCAUGUCAAAUGAUGUGAUAAUUAGAAUGGCAAUGGAUUCUGUUGUACGAUGCUAUCUACACUAAUCAGUUAAGCUUGGAGGAGUAUAUUUACACUCUGACUUCAACCACAUCCCCGUCUUUGAGCUCAGUAUUUGGUAAUACAAGCUGACCAUUCACCAAAACCAGCUUGCCUUCGAGUCCUACUCUUCUGGCAGCAUCUGCAGCAGUGCUACCAGUCCUUAAUCUCAUUAUCUCACCAUGGGGCCAACAAAUGAUUACCACUUCACCAAGAACAAUAGAAUCUGCAUUACAGUGCCACUUUCUAACGUACUUCGGUUGUCCAAGACUUGCUUCAGAGCGUAGCUGCUCUUCCCAUCGAAGCAUUGUCCUCAAUAGUCGGAUCUUAUUGUUGAUGCUAGCCUCAAUAGAAUUGGAAGCAACAGAAACUAAAGUUGGCCUGGAUUCAACAGAAUCAACAGGUUUGCCCUCAAAAACAGCAGCUACAACUGCCCAAUAUUCAGAUUCUUCUUGCUUUGUCAAGUCAAUAACCUGAAUGAAGGUUGGUAACAGGCGCUCAAAUUGAUCUUGCUGCAUGGCAACGUAUACAUUGAGUGAAUUUCUUGAGGAAGUUCUUUAAGAGCAUUAUUUCCUAAAUGCUUAUAUAGACUCGAUUGAUGUUUAAAUAUACCAACCAGAUUUAAACUGUAACAUGCUAAAAAAAGCUAAACUUGGCUCAGACAAAGGACAGUGUAAUAGAGAUAUAAGUGAAAAUUUUAGAUCAAGACCAUCAUGUGCAAGGCAAACCUUAAUACCAUGUUUAUCACAAGUUUUAAACUUUCCCUGCAAUUAUAAAUUUGCUAUAUUCCAUUUUUAGGUUAUGCUCAAGUCUUCAAGACGAAUUAUGGCAUGUAAAAGGAGACAAUGGUGGUACCAGCUGACAAGGGAAACUGAAGUAGCACUAUAUGAGAUGAGUUCUGUCACUAUGGUCCCUUUCCCUUUUCCUAUAAUUUUCAUUACACACUCAAUAGUUCUGAUGGGCAUUACACGGAGAUGAGCCUAUGAAUAUUUCAUAAACAUUUGAAAUUGAGAAAUGUAAUUAUGAUCCAUACUAAUAAAUAAAGGAUAUUAUCAUAAUUCAUCCCAUCAUUAUGUUAACAAACAAUAUUCCAAAUUACUUUCUAGAACUUUUCACACUAGAAUACCAAUAAAUGAUACUAGCAUAGUUGCAGCAGUUUUUGAUGAUAUACCAACAGCUGACAGCCCGUUGUCAAUAAUUGGAUGAAUAUAAUUGCAUUCAGAGCAGCAAAUACUGGAAGAAUUGAAAACAACGCUAAGUGAGGACAAGAAAAAUUACAACAAUCGACUAUCCGAUGGGCUCCCAAGUAUGAAGAAGAAAUAUUUAUGGUGGCUGUUUAAGAAAAACACUCAUUUCUUUUUUCAGAGAAUACUAAUAGUAGCACGUGAAGAUAAAUGAAAAGAAAAUAAAUAUGAAGAUUGUAAACAUGAUAAAAAAAAAAACAGGACAGCAAUAGAAUGUUUCAUUUUAAUGCAUUUAGAUUAUAGUUGAGGAAAAUGCACAUCACCAACUUUGGCUUUAUGCACUAUUGCAUGCAUGCUUCAAGUUAAAGGAUUCUACACAUUCUUGAACUUCUAUUAUAUUUUUUCUUUUAUUCCCAGAAAAGAAAUUUCAUGGACUUAAAUUCUCUCUACUUAUGUAAAGAUCCAAACACUGGCACUAUAUCUUUACAGGAAUACCCAGACAACUUGUGAAUAUGAUCACAAAUUUGAACUCCAUACUCAAAUCUUCUUAUCAGGUUUGAAAUAGACAUACCUUAUGGUACAUACCAUCUCGACAAAGCGUAUACCUCUCAAGGCAAGUACACCAGUCCCCAUGUCCUGGCUCAAACCACCACUCAUCUGAGACCUUUUUGUACAAUCUUGCAUAAGCUUCCCACCGCUUUAUUUGGAAAGAAGAUCUUCUGUCAGCUACUGCUUCAGAAGCCGCCAGUCCAAAACUCACAGCAACUAGCAAUUCUCUUCCAUCCUUAUCUACUCUGAUUAUAACAGCAGCAAGUAACUGACUUCCUUCAACUCUAAGGACUGGAUGACCCACUUUCAGGGAUCUGUAUUUCUGAAACUGAUCAUCUUCUAUGGAAUUAUGAUCCUCAAUUUCUUUGGAGAGAAAGGAAGAUGCUUCAGUUUCAGAGUCAUCCAUAGUAUUUACAGAAGGCAACCUGUUUCCAGUUUCUUUAUAAAGCCAAUGUGCUGCAAGUCCGUGCUCAGCAUACUCGUGCAUUUUCUGUGUUCUUAUCUGAACUUCCAAAGGUGCACAAUCGGGACCUUUUACUGCUGUGUGCAGAGACUGAUAUCCACUGGGUUUUGGGUUAACAAUGUAAUCAUCAAAUUCACCAUCAAUGGGGGUCCACAGCCUGCACAGGAAAGUAAAAAUGUGAUGCAAUAUUUAGUGACAAACAGUAUAGUUGAGGAAGUGUAGAAAACGUGCAUUAUGUAAUAUUUAAAAAUACACCAAGAUAUUCAACUGAUAUUUAUUGAUGCAUGGUCCAUGGGCUAGGACAGUAUUCACAAAGCUAAUGCAAAUAAAAUUUGCAAAGGCCUAUUUAGAUGCCCAAGCCAGAUAUCAUUGUAGCUAUAAUCAGAAAGUGGUGAAAUACAGUUGGCAAUAGAUAGCUUACAAUGACUACUAAAAAGAAAAUCUAACUGCAACAUGGUAUGGGUAAACAAGUAAAUAUACCUAUGCAGUAUGUCAAGAAGACUGUAACAACACUGAAUUGCUGGUCCAUUUAAAGUUCCAUUCUUGUCUCCUACAACUACCCUCAGUGCACGAGCAUCAUAUACUUUAUCGAUGCCAACAUCUUUCCGCUUCAUCUACAGAUAGUAAAGACAAAAAUGUCUCCAAUUGAUGGCAAAAAUAAGAUCAUAAUGGGUUUUUUAAAAAAAACUUGAGCAGUGAUUAUGGUUCAGUAUAACUGAACUAGCAGCAAAGGCAAAGUAGGCUAGCACUACUUUUUAAGCAACUGUAGAUCAAAAAGAAAAACCCUCUAGGCACAAUCCUGUUAACAAAAAUUCAACUUAUAUGAAAAAAUAAUUACAUCUUUUUACAUGCCUUGUUGAUUAAAUCAAAUCAAAAACUUUAGUAAUACCUUACUGUAGAUACUAAACAAGCUUUUUAGUCGACUAGAUAAAGUCACUUCCAUCCCUGGAACAUAAGAAGUAGAUAUAAAUAGCUCCCUCUCAAGUGCUUCCUCACAAGCAAUAAGAGAUGCUAGAGCAAUUCCUGCAUCUUGAACAACCUUUGGUCUUUUUUGAGUCUCUGAUGUUUUUCCAAGAUUGUUAAGAAAUAUGGCCCCUCUUUUCCGAUCCAACAAUAUAUCAAAAGGUAUUACUGCCUCCAAAAGAUCCUUCAUUCUUGAGAUAUCUUCAUUGAAACCCAAAGAAUCUUCAUUAUCAGAAGUCAAAUUUUUCUCAUCCAAAGGUGGCGAGCCAGAUUUGUUAGAUGUUCUUCUUGGACAUCCAGCUCUGCUGCUAGAGCUCCACAUGGAAGCCAGAUCGGCCCGCAUCUUCCGAAACAAUUGAGGCUGAAGAACUGCAAAGCAUAAAUCUUCUAGUUCAGCUUUCAAUGCCCACAAACCCAAUCUGGAAGCAAGUGAGCACCAAAUAAGUAAGGUCUCCUGUGCAACAGCUUGAGCCUUCAGUUGUGGCAGAGCAAAAAUGGUCCUCAUGUUGUGAAGACGGUCUGCAAGCUUGAUGAGCACCACUCGUGGAUCGUCAACCAUGCCCAACAGCAUAACUCGUAAAUUAUUUGCCUCUUCCUGACCAAGGGUACUCUGGUUCACAUUUAUCCUGCGAUGUCUCCGUAGCAGCUGAUUUAUAUAACUUAAUCUGGAAACACCAGCUACCAAUUUUGCCACAUCUUCGCCAAACUCUUCUUCUAUACUAUUUAAACUUUGAUAUGUAUCAUCCACCACAUCAUGAAGAAUCCCAGCCACAACCGUAUCAACAGCCCUUUUGCCAGUUGAAGGAACCAGCAUUGCUAGGAUUCUUCCUGUGUGGAUACAAUGAGUCAAAUAAGGGUCUCCUGUUUUCCGAAAUUGCCCAUGGUGAGCCUUUUUAGCAAAAGUAAUAGCCUUUUGCACCUGCCUUUGAAUCGCUAAAUAUAGGAUACCCAGUCACAUCGACUCCAUCCACAAUAAAAGAACCUGGUUGUUCGUCCACUUUAGGCCAUAAAAAAUCAACCUUAGUGGAAAGGCAAGCACCAGAGGCAAUAGCGACGGCGGUGACAGCGACCUGCGUAAUCGCAGACGUAACAGCGCCAUGGAGGGAGCCGGAACCGGAGGAGGCUGCAGCGGCGGCGGCGAUGAUGUUACCGGAGGUGAAUACGGAGGAGAGGGAGGAGGAGACAGCGAAUUUGGGGACAAUCUGGUGGAGAAGGCAGCGGAAUUUGUAGGAAUUAUGAGAUGUAUUGCGGAAAUAGAAGGGGUGGAAAUGAAAUAUUUGAAGAAAAGGAGAGGUUUUCUGGGCAAACAUAUUGGAGGAUCGGGUAUGGCAUGGAGAUGGAGAGGAAGAGGAAGAGAAGCGCAUUGAAAUUAAGAAAUGAUUUUUUGUUGGUUGGU
rnacentral:misc_RNA from 1 species